GAUGAACGCUAGCUACAGGCUUAACACAUGCAAGUCGAGGGGAAACGGCAUCGAAAGCUUGCUUUUGAUGGGCGUCGACCGGCGCACGGGUGAGUAACGCGUAUCCAACCUGCCCAUCACUUGGGAAUAACCUUGCGAAAGUAAGACUAAUGCCCAAUGACAUCCCACGAAGGCAUCCGAAUGGGAUUAAAGAUUUAUCGGUGAUGGAUGGGGAUGCGUCUGAUUAGCUUGUUAGCGGGGUGACGGCCCACCAAGGCAACGAUCAGUAGGGGUUCUGAGAGGAAGUUCCCCACAAUUGGAACGGAGAACCGGUCCAAACGCUAAAGGGGGGAAGAAGGGAGGAAUAGUGGUAAAGGGGGGAGACCCUGAACCAGCCAAUGAGGGGGAAGGAUGACGGCCCUAUGGGUUGUAAACUGCUUUUAUAAGGGAAAAAAGUGGGUCACUUUGUACUUUUGGCAUGUACCUUAUGAAUAAGGACCGGUUAAUUCCGU
rnacentral:rRNA from 1 species